GGUCGUAACAGCCAUACACUGCAAUGUCAAUCAGCAACAGGUGUUUUACACCCGAAGGGUUACCGUGACCUAAUUGAGGAAGACGAGUUGACCAGGCCAGCAGUUUGUUUGGCGGUACGCUGAAGAAUAAAAAGUUAGUGCAAUUUGGAGAUUUAGUAGGCUCCAUCUUGGCUAGUUGGAAUCUAUUACCUUGUUGUUUGGUGUUUGCGGCAUCAAGCGAAUACAUUUGUUUUCAUAAUGCCUUUUAGCAAACACCCCUGUGGGUAGUCGGAACGGUUUUUUACUAAACAUUGUAGGCCGAACAUGUCAUCUUUAUUUUUUUGAGUAGUUAGGCUACUUUCAAGCGCCGCUUGACCUUGAAAAUUAAAGUUGGCUACUCUUCCUAUCAACUACAAUGGAGCAAACCAACCAAACAAGUAGGUGGUGCUAGCCGGGACAGGACAGCGAGUUCAUGUAGAUGGGGCAGGCAUCGCAAAAGACACCGUACCGCUUCUGUAAAGGGAAGGGAUGUGCAACACCCGCGUGCCCAAGCGCAUAUCGUCAGCCGUUCAGACCGAGCCGAAACGCCGCGAUGCACACGCACCGAGGGUGGAUUCGGAGGCCCUGGAAACAGCCCAGACCCCCAUGCCGAGGGGACGUGAGGCAUUGUCUGGUAGGCUAUCAGGACUCGCGUUUUUCAAUCAGGCUAAUGGGUCUCCUCGUGCGGCGCUGGUGAUGGAAGACCCGGGGUGAGACUGAGCAAGCUGAGCAAAGCGGGCACAGCAAGCUGCCAAAGGACACCAUCCAGGUACAACAAGCCCACCGUCCCAACGACCAGCCAGGCAGACAGGAACAACCUUUGUUUUUAAAAAAAAUAUAUUUUAAGUCAGUGUUCUAGAACUGAAUAUUUGUUUUCAGUUAUCAGCGGUGAUUGUUACAUCAGCAAUAGAAUGUUCAGUUAAGAAUAUUACAAUCGCACAGUUGUGAUUUUUUUAAACUUAAAGAGUUAAACAUAAGACUUGAGCGUAGAAAAUAACCAUUGUGUUUGAACGAAGCGUUAUCUCUCCUAACGAUUCUUCCAUUUAUAAAUUCCUAAAUUCUAAUUGUAACUAACCGAGUUGGGCUCGACUAAUGAAAAUAAAUUAAAAGGUAUGGACGUAUCCUGUUGCAUUUUUAUUAAUUGUUCGAGUUAAUUAUUUAGCUGCUGGGAAUACUCCUGUAUUGUUUAUUGCUAAUAUGAAAUCAUUAGCUGCUACCCUGUGCUUGAAGGACACUUUUGAUCCCAUCUAUGAAGUAGAUAAAACAGAAUCGUAUUUCACAUGCAACAUAUUGCAGCAUAAAUUGCUACCUCUCUCUGUUAACAGUCAUUGAUUUCCGCUUUUUUAUGCAAGCAGAAUCAUUCAGCAAUUACUGUACAAUGAACAGGCACUAACGUUCAGAUAAAAACGGGACUGUUUUCAUCUUUACCAAACCCUUCGUUCACAUAUAGCGCCUGUAGCAAGAUAAUGGAACCUGUGGCUCAGCUGGUGAAGGGUUGGAGGAGUGCGGACUGGAGUCAGUAGCCAUAGGUUCAAGCCUGGACUAUCAUUAAAAAAACAAAGUAGUUUCCUAGGUUACUGCUGCUUCGAUCUCUCCAGUCACCACAUUACAGUAUGCUGGGGUGUGAAAUAAAUCUGAUAUACAGCACACCGUAUACAGACAAGAGCACGUUUCCUGUUGCGUGAACUCAUGUAAACUCUGCUCGAGUUUAAUUUAAUACUGACAAUUUCACUGUGCAGGCACCCUCAGGGAAAAUUAUUAUUAUUAUUUUUUUUUUAGAAAUAACAAAGCAGGAUGGGUAAUCACAUCCCCGCGCUUGAUGUGAACGGCAGCGUGCCGCGCUGGUCACGGACCUGUGCUGUUAGCCAGAAGGUUGGAGGUUAGCGUCCUGGAGGACAGCUGCGCUCGCGCGCAACCUUGCGGACGAUGUGGAACGGGCG